GGGGCCAUAGCUCAGCUGGGAGAGCGCUUGAAUGGCAUUCAAGAGGUCAGGAGUUCGAUCCUCCUUGGCUCCACCA
rnacentral:tRNA from 2 species